rnacentral:rRNA from 1 species
CCUACGGGGAGCUGCAGUGAGGAAUAUUGGUCAAUGGACGAGAGUCUGAACCAGCCAAGUAGCGUGAAGGAUGACUGCCCUAUGGGUUGUAAACUUCUUUUAUAUGGGAAUAAAACGUUCCACGUGUGGGAUUUUGUAUGUACCAUAUGAAUAAGGAUCGGCUAACUCCGUGCCAGCAGCCGCUGUAAUACGGAGGAUCCGAGCGUUAUCCGGCUUUAUUGGGUUUAAAGGGAGCGUAGGUGGAUUGUUAAGUCAGUGGUGAAAGUUUGCGGCUCAACCGUAAAAUUGCAGUUGAAACUGGCAGUCUUGAGUACAGUAGAGGUGGGCGGAAUUCGUGGGGUAGCGGUGAAAUGCUUAGAUAUCACGAAGAACUCCGAUUGCGAAGGCAGUUCACUGGACUGCAACUGACACUGAGGCUCGAAAGUGUGGGUAUCAAACAGGAUUAGAUACCCUUGUAGUC